UACGUAGGGUGCAAGCGUUGUCCGGAAUUAUUGGGCGUAAAGAGCUCGUAGGCGGUUUGUCGCGUCUGCUGUGAAAACUCAGGGCUUAACUCUGAGCUUGCAGUGGGUACGGGCAGACUAGAGUGCGGUAGGGGAGACUGGAAUUCCUGGUGUAGCGGUGAAAUGCGCAGAUAUCAGGAGGAACACCGGUGGCGAAGGCGGGUCUCUGGGCAGUAACUGACGCUGGAGGAGCGAAAGCGUGGGGAGCGAACAGG
rnacentral:rRNA from 1 species